UACGGAGGGUGCAAGCGUUAAUCGGAAUUACUGGGCGUAAAGCGCACGCAGGCGGUCUGUCAAGUCGGAUGUGAAAUCCCCGGGCUCAACCUGGGAACUGCAUCCGAAACUGGCAGGCUAGAGUCUUGUAGAGGGGGGUAGAAUUCCAGGUGUAGCGGUGAAAUGCGUAGAGAUCUGGAGGAAGACCGGUGGCGAAGGCGGCCCCCUGGACAAAGACUGACGCUCAGGUGCGAAAGCGUGGGGAGCAAACAGGUUUAGUUACCCUGGUCGUCCACGCCGUAAACGAUGUCGACUUGGAGGUUGUGCCCUUGAGGCGUGGCUUCCGGAGCUAACGCGUUAAGUCGACCGCCUGGGGAGUACGGUCGCAAGGUUAAA
rnacentral:rRNA from 1 species